AUAACUAUAAAUAAAAUCUGCUCCAUGUUUUUAAAUAGCCGCAGAAUUUUAACUGUGCUAAGGUAGCAUAAUCAUUUACCUUUUAAUUAAAGGUCUGUAUGAACGAUUUUACAAUUAAAUUACUUUUUUGUUUAUAAUAUUUUAACUUAAAUCAAGAAUAAAAAUGUUCUUAUUGCCAAAAAAGACGAUAAGACCCUAUUGAACUUUACUUAAGUUAAGCUGGGGAAGCUAAUUAAAUAUAAUUUUAAUUAAAUUUUUUUAAAUAAAUUUCUAAUAAAAUUAAAUAAAACAAGUUACCAUAGGGAUAACAGCGUAAUAAUUUUCAAAAGCUCUUAUUGAAAAAAAUGUUUACGACCUCGAUGUUGAAUUAAAAUUACUUUGAACCGCAAUAGAAUAAAAGUAGGUCUGU
rnacentral:rRNA from 1 species